rnacentral:rRNA from 1 species
UUAGAAGUGAGAAUGCCGGUAUGAGUAGCGAGAGAGGGGUGAGAAUCCCCUCCACCGAAUGCCUAAGGUUUCCUGAGGAAGGCUCGUCCGCUCAGGGUUAGUCGGGACCUAAGCCGAGGCCGAAAGGCGUAGGCGAUGGACAACAGGUUGAUAUUCCUGUACCACCUCCUCACCAUUUGAGCAAUGGGGGGACGCAGGAGGAUAGGGUAAGCGCGGUAUUGGAUAUCCGCGUCCAAGCAGUUAGGCUGGGAAAUAGGCAAAUCCGUUUCCCAUAAGGCUGAGCUGUGAUGGCGAGCGAAAUAUAGUAGCGAAGUUCCUGAUUCCACACUGCCAAGAAAAGCCUCUAGCGAGGUGAGAGGUGCCCGUACCGCAAACCGACACAGGUAGGCGAGGAGAGAAUCCUAAGGUGAUCGAGAGAACUCUCGUUAAGGAACUCGGCAAAAUGACCCCGUAACUUCGGGAGAAGGGGUGCUCUGUUAGGGUGCAAGCCCGAGAGAGCCGCAGUGAAUAGGCCCAGGCGACUGUUUAGCAAAAACACAGGUCUCUGCGAAGCCGUAAGGCGAAGUAUAGGGGCUGACGCCUGCCCGGUGCUGGAAGGUUAAGAGGAGCGCUUAGCGUAAGCGAAGGUGCGAAUUGAAGCCCCAGUAAACGGCGGCCGUAACGAUAACGGUCCUAAGGUAGCGAAAUUCCUUGUCGGGUAAGUUCCGACCCGCACGAAAGGCGCAACGAUCUGGGCACUGUCUCAACGAGAGACUCGGUGAAAUUAUAGUACCUGUGAAGAUGCAGGUUACCCGCGACAGGACGGAAAGACCCCGUGGAGCUUUACUGCAGCCUGAUAUUGAAUGUUGGUACAGCUUGUACAGGAUAGGUAGGAGCCUUGGAAACCGGAGCGCCAGCUUUGGUGGAGGCAUCGGUGGGAUACUACCCUGGCUGUAUUGACCUUCUAACCCGCCGCCCUUAUCGGGCGGGGAGACAGUGUCAGGUGGGCAGUUUGACUGGGGCGGUCGCCUCCUAAAAGGUAACGGAGGCGCCCAAAGGUUCCCUCAGAAUGGUUGGAAAUCAUUCGCAGAGUGUAAAGGCACAAGGGAGCUUGACUGCGAGACCUACAAGUCGAGCAGGGACGAAAGUCGGGCUUAGUGAUCCGGUGGUUCCGCAUGGAAGGGCCAUCGCUCAACGGAUAAAAGCUACCCCGGGGAUAACAGGCUUAUCUCCCCCAAGAGUCCACAUCGACGGGGAGGUUUGGCACCUCGAUGUCGGCUCAUCGCAUCCUGGGGCUGUAGUCGGUCCCAAGGGUUGGGCUGUUCGCCCAUUAAAGCGGUACGCGAGCUGGGUUCAGAACGUCGUGAGACAGUUCGGUCCCUAUCCGUCGCGGGCGCAGGAAAUUUGAGAGGAGCUGUCCUUAGUACGAGAGGACCGGGAUGGACGCACCGCUGGUGUACCAGUUGUUCUGCCAAGGGCAUCGCUGGGUAGCUAUGUGCGGACGGGAUAAGUGCUGAAAGCAUCUAAGCAUGAAGCCCCCCUCAAGAUGAGAUUUCCCAUUCCGCAAGGAAGUAAGAUCCCUGAAAGAUGAUCAGGUUGAUAGGUCUGAGGUGGACGUGUGGCGACACAUGGAGCUGACAGAUACUAAUCGAUCGAGGACUUAACC